rnacentral:rRNA from 2 species
UACGGAGGGGGCUAGCGUUGUUCGGAAUUACUGGGCGUAAAGCGCGCGUAGGCGGCUUUGUAAGUCAGAGGUGAAAUCCCGGAGCUCAACUCCGGAACUGCCUUUGAAACUGCAUCGCUUGAAUCCGGGAGAGGUGAGUGGAAUUCCGAGUGUAGAGGUGAAAUUCGUAGAUAUUCGGAAGAACACCAGUGGCGAAGGCGGCUCACUGGACCGGUAUUGACGCUGAGGUGCGAAAGCGUGGGGAGCAAACAGG